CUGUCACCGGCCGGUCCCCCCGGCCGUCCCCGCCCGCCUCCCCCUGUCUCUUUCCAUCUCCCGGUCUCCGCGGCGUUUCUCUGCCUCCUUCCUCGCCUCUCCCGGCCUCUCUGGCUGUCCCCGGCUCUCUUCCUCACUGCCUCUCUCUUUUUCUCUUACCCCUCUCUCCUCGGCUGCUCUCACCACUUCCUCCCUCCCUCUCCGGCUUCCUUCUACCUCCCCUCACUCUCCCCCCUUUCUCGCCUUGCUCAGGGGGACUCGCUAUCUCUUUCUCUGUCUCUCCUUGGAACAGCGGCCCCCAAAAUGCAACUGAAGCCAUUUCCCUGCUCUGAGACCUCGGACAAGUCACUCCCCGCCAGGGCUGCAGUUUCCUGUCUCUAAAAGGAGUUGAUGAGCAGCUCUAGGUGGGGUGGCGAUGGGGGACGCAGGAGGUGCCCCGUGCCUGUGGUCCCCUGUUGAAGUUCACGCCUCCUCAAAUGCAGCGGCCACCCAGCGCUCGCUGGGUGCCAUGUGUGCCCCACAAAACACCUUUCCUCAGCCUCGAGGACAAGUACCAGAGGCCAGUUCCGCGGGAAAAGUUAAUGGUGGUUUCCUCCAGGGUCCCUAAAGCCCCUCCUGAAAAGUGACUGUGGUUCCCCUCCCCCUGUCCUCAGGUUUUGAGUGGGCACAACCUAAGCUGGAUCUGAUAGGCCCUGUCACCUGCUGGUUCCUCCCUGGUUGACACCAAGCAGAGGGGCAAUGCUCUCUCGCUGUCCUUAGACCCAAGCAGGAGAAAAAUCUACCCUCCCUCCUUCCCUCCCCAUUCCCCAUCACACCAUGAUUGGCUUUUAAGCUUCAGGGAUGUUUCCCGGACCGAGUGUGGCUUCAGAGUCAGAGAGAUGUGAGUUCAAGACCACUUGCUUAGGUAAGUCACACUGCUCCAAGUUUCAGUUUCUUCAUCUGUGAAAUGGGAGCAAUAACCACCUCUUUUUCAGGAUUGCCAUUGAGAUCAUUCGUGGAAUCCAUAAAGUGCCCAGCCCACAGGUUAUUUAUUCUGUCCAGCUUUUAUUCAAGCUUUUUGCUUAGCACUGAGGAAACAGCAAUUCACGAGGCAGGCAUGGUCUCUGCCUUCAUGCAACUUGCAUUCUAGGAGGCAGACAGACUGUGGACAGCAAUUACAGAAUUUCAUGACAGUUAUACAAGUGCCAUGGAACAUAUAGAGUACGAUAAGACCAGAUAUCCAGGGAAACUGACCUGGUCUGGGGCUCAGGAAGGCCUUUCCCAAAGUGUGAUGACAUCGAAGCUGAGACCUGAAGUCAAUUGGGGCACCAGGAUUGCAGUUGGUAGGAAGUGGGCAGGGGGUGCUAAAAGAGGUGGUGGAGGGAGAGCGUUCCUGGCACGAGGGAGCAAGGCCAGCGCGAAAGCCGGAGUGGCCGGUGUGGGGUGGGGAGCGGGAUGAGGCUGCAGAGGUGGGCGGGGCCAGGCGUGGGCAGGCAGUGUCUUGUAGGCUGUGCUGGGAAGUCCCGGCCUCAGCGCACAGAAACUGCUCUCAUGAACCCUCAACCACAUGAGUCCCGAUUUCCCCUUUUCUGAGCUGGAAGGAAGAAGCCAGGCCAGCAUGCAGACUCAUUCUUUGCCUUUGGUUAUUCCUGGGGGCUGCCAUCUCUUGUCCUCUCCUUUGCUAUGUCCCAGCACUGUGCACCCAAAGAUGUCAUUGCCUACUAUGACAGCCAUGCCCCCACCCGAGGGCCUCCCUGGCAGCACACACUCAGGCUUGGUUUCUGUUUGUGCCCUUAAAGUCAGGCCCACAGGAGGCAUCGUCCUUGGCCACUGAUCCCCUGUUGUGUGCCAGGCCCUGUGCUGGGCAUGGCCCCUGUCCUCACAAAGCACUCCUUUUUCUGGGAAGACACUUUUGAGCACACAGGGAUGCAAUGACCAUGAUGAAGGAGUCUCAUGGGGGACCUGAGGCAUGGGGCUGGAAGCUCUUUGAGGGCAGGUCCAUCGUGUGUUUUCUCACCUCGCAUCAUCAUCAGGGUGUGGCACUGUGCCUGGCACCAAGGCAGACACUCAGAAACACGUAUUUGGAGGAUGAAAAAGAAAAGUGGAGUUUAAACAUAGAAGGAUGAAGGCUCAGUAGGAGCUCAGAGAGCCACAAGAAAGGGGGAGGAGACCUGCCUCUGAAGCUCUGUAAGGAGGAGGCAAAGGGCUCUGUAGUGGGAGGGAGCUGAUGCUUCUGGGGCUCCUCCUCCUGGGGCCAGGCAGGUGCUGGGCACUUUUGUGCAGUUCCCUGGGCCAACCUCCACAGCGCCCCGCCUCGAGGGCACCAUUGGCCCCACUUUUCUGUUAAAGCGCUAGGGUCCAGAGGGGUUGCGUCACAGGCUUGAGGUCACACAGCCAGUAAGAGCCUGCGCCCGGAUUUGAACCCUGGUCCGCCUGCUCCUCUUUACUAAAAGGAGGAAGCAAAAGAGGAGGAGAAGGCAGAGGAAGGCGACGACUGAGAACAAAAGAAGAGCAGUGGCAAAGGAGUGAGCUCCAUGAGUGGCUUUUGUGGACAAGAUGCGACCACCUCAUGAGGAUCAAGAUGUACUCCUUGCUCUUCUCUGCACAGCAGUCUCAAAACUAGGCUACACCGUCUGUCUCCUCUGGUCACCAUUUUGAGAGGCAGCAAGGGUCUUCCUAACCCUCAGCUCCCUCUGAUUUUUGGAAUUCAGAUUUGGAUUUUGGAUGUACAUCAAGAGGCUGGCUCCACGCAUUUUAAUUAAGUUGUCUUUUUUCAUUUAUUACUAAUACACUCCUCUUAACUAUGAUUUAUUGGUUAAACAAAGCACCAUAAGCCGUCACUUAUUCAUCUUAAUUUCAACAAAAUUAAAGUAGUCGCUGUUAGAUUGCACCUAAUUGCACUUGCAAUGAAAAGAACGGAGAUGUUAAUCAAAAUAAAUUGAAGAUAAACAAUAAAAUCAUUACAUCUUUGCGGU
rnacentral:lncRNA from 10 species